CAAGAGCUUAAGUCUAUUUCCACUGCCCUUUAAGCUGGCCCUGUGAUGAUCUCCGUACAACAGGAUGCAGCAGAAGUGUUGUGUUAGUUCUAACUUUAGACUUAAGAAGCCUUUCAGCUUCCACUUUCAUGCUGGGAAUCCUGAUGAAGAAAGAAAAUUCAUGUGGGGAGAGGUCUCAGCUGCCUUCAUCAUCUUAAUUGUCUUUAUUGAGGUCCACAUGAGGCCCACACGUAUAAUUGGACCCACCUGAGGAAAGGAAGAAUAUGAAGUCAAGGAAGACCAUCCACAGAAAAGAUGCUUGCCAAACUCCCAGGUUCCUGGCAGAAUGAAUAAUGUGAAUAAAAUGCAUGUUUAGUCCAACAGUCCUUCUUAAGUGGUAUAUAAAUAAAUAGUAUACAAUAAUAGAUUUUGUAUGGUGCAAUUGUUUUUAUUCAGAAAUGUAGAUACAUAGAAAUACAGUAUCUUAAAAACAUAGGAAGUUCCAGGGCUGCCCA
rnacentral:lncRNA from 1 species